rnacentral:misc_RNA from 1 species
GAUGAAGAACGUAGCGAAAUGCGAUAAGUAAUGUGAAUCGCAGAAUUCAGUGAAUCAUCGAAUCUUUGAACGCACAUUGCGCCCGCCAGUAUUCUGGCGGGCAUGCCUGUUCGAGCGUCAUUUCAACCCUCAGGGCCCUUUUGGACCUGGCGUUGGGGCUCGGCCGCUACCCUGCGGCCGUCCCCGAAAGAUAGUGGCGGUCUCGCUGUAGCCUCCUCUGCGUAGUAGUUACAUCUCGCACUGGAACGCGGCGCGGCCAUGCCGUUAAACACCCCACUUCUCAAGGUUGACCUCGGAUCAGGUAGGAAUACCCGCUGAACUUAAGCAUAUCAAUAAGCGGAGGA